rnacentral:tRNA from 1 species
GUCCCCUUCGUCUAGAGGCCUAGGACACGACCCUUUCACGGUUGUAACAGGGGUUCGAAUCCCCUAGGGGAUACCA